rnacentral:rRNA from 1 species
CUACGGGGUGCAGCAGUGAGGAAUAUUGCGCAAUGGGGGAAACCCUGACGCAGCGACGCCGCGUGGAUGAUGAAGGCCUUCGGGUUGUAAAAUCCUGUCAGAUGGGAAGAACUGUUACAUGUCUAAUAUAUGUGUAACCUGACGGUACCAUCAAAGGAAGCACCGGCUAACUCCGUGCCAGCAGCCGCGGUAAUACGGAGGGUGCAGGCGUUGUUCGGAAUUACUGGGCGUAAAGCGCGCGUAGGCGGCUAUGUAAGUCAGAUGUGAAAGCCCAUGGAUUAACCAUGGACGUGCAUUUGAUACUGCAUGGCUUGAGUACUGGAGGGGGUGGUGGAAUUCCCGGUGUAGAGGUGAAAUUCGUAGAUAUCGGGAGGAAUACCGGUGGCGAAGGCGACCACCUGGCCAGAUACUGACGCUGAGGUGCGAAAGCGUGGGGAGCAAACAGGAUUAGAUACCCCCGUAGUC